GGCGGUGCGGGAGGGCGCUGGCCGCGUCCGCCCGCCGAGAGCCUCGGGUCGCGCAGCCUUCCUGAUGUGUCACCAGCACGUGGAGCCAGAACAAUCACCCUAAAGAAGACAGAUCAUAAAAAGGGAAUGAAAGCCUAUGAUGAAUGAACAAGCUGUAUACACUUGCCAUUGUGAUCAGAGAAUAACACCGUCUGUGAGAAGUCCGACAACUGGAGAGGGGCCAGAGGACAGAAGAUGAGGAAAUAAAGUGAAGUUUCAUACACAGAGGGUCCAGGCAAAAAUCCUGAGCAAAGUAGAAACCAACUGUGGACAUUUCUGCAGAAAGGAGUCCUCACUUAGAGCUUCCAGGGAACCAGCAGGAAGUCUCAUCAAAUUGGGUUCACUUUCUAUAUUUAGAGCAUCAGAAGGCUGAACAUGUCAGACAGAGUUCAGGUAGGGGCACAUGUGGAGAUUUUUUUUUUUUGGUACCGGGGAUCGAUUUUGGUACCUGCACUUGUGAGGCAGGCAGCGGAACCACUGAGCUAAAUCCCCGGCCCAAUGUGGAGAUUUUUUAAAAUUUGAUACAGUUCAGUUAUUUUCUAGAAGAACGGGGUGACUACUUCAAAUGGAAAACAUUGACUCAAGGCCCUAAAAGUUGACUGGGAAGACAGUAGCAGUGACGAUGGGAUACGAGAUGCCGCAGUAAUAAUAGGACCCCGGAUCUUGGCAGCUCCAAGCAGCAAGGCUCAGUUCUCACCUCUGCUCUUAGUCCCCUGCCUGGAGCAACUGGAGGCUCCACCCUGCAUCUGUCUCCUCUGGGACCCAGGCUGAGGGAGCAACCCUUAUGAGGGGGAGGAAGCAGUGUGGUGAGCCAUGGGUUGGCUCUGAAAGCGUCACCCACAAGUGACAAGGCAAGUCUUAUGGCCAAGGUUAACUUCAAAAAUGGUAGGCAGUACAACCCCACUCCCCAUGGGGAGGAUGAGGAGCCAGAAAUAUGUCGGGGUAGCACCACAGACUCCACAGCCCCAGGGCUGCCAGUAUCUCAUGCAGGGAAGUGCAGGCUCUGGGCAAGAAAGGACUGGGUAGAGACUCAGCACUUUGGCAUCUGACUGGGGUCUCAGGGUCGGGAGCAAGUCAGAGGCGAAGACCAGAGCAACUGGAGGCUGGGAAAAAAGCACCAGGGCAGCAGAAGCGGACGUCAUCUCCAGAACCCUAAAUAUUCAGUGAUUGAGGUGUUUAAAUACUUGGCAGUCUAAUCAUUUAAAUGGACUAGGACAACUACUUAAAGUGACAAUAUAAAUGAACAUUUGUUGGCAACAAGCUACACGCUGGGAGUGUCCAUUUGGGGAAGGGGCUGUCAGAUGUUGAAGCAGCACCUGGCAGAGAGGGGAUCCUGUGGUAUUUGCCUCGGUGCGGACAGGCAGGAGGUGUGCAGGUUGCAUGGUGCUGGUUGAGACCUCAAAAGGUUGACAGACCAUCUGGAGACAAACACAUUCCCAUGCCAAUGUGGCAACUGGGGCAACUGGCAUUUCCUCCAGAGCUACUGGUGUCAUUUGUGUGCAAAUAAUGUGAGAAAAUUUGACUCUCUGCCUGGCUUGCCAGGAGGCUCCUGGGCAGAGUUAGCUUGUGGUUGCCUGGACCUCGUGUGGGGCUGCAGUAGGAAGGACUCUCCAAGUAUGACUAUGGGAGCAUGCACGUUUUCCGGACGUGGCCAUUUUGUUUCUCAGCUCCUCAAAUUUCUACUCCUAAAGUGAAGCUGUACACUGUGAUUAAGAGCACAGACUGCUGGGGCUGGAAUCCGGGGCCCAUCGCUCUGAGGGACCUUAAGGGAGACUUGACCAUUCUGGCCUCAGGACCACUGUGUGUGAAAUAAUAUUUCAGAGACUUGUGUCCAUAUAUAAAUUAAAUACAAAGGGCUUAGGAAAGAGCAUUCGAUAAAUAUUAAACAUUUAAAACCCUAUACUACUGCCUCUGAAUUUCAGCAAAGAAUUUGUGAGCCAUUCAGAGUAUCUUUGUAGGCAAACGGAAAAACUGAGACAGGUGAAUAGUGUGGUAAAAUCCUGUGAAGUCUGGGUUGGCUGGACUCCUGACAAGGAGAGUCAUUAAGGAAUUAGUGUCACCUUUCAAAGCAGGUAUUUCGUGGUGUGACUUAAGUAAGCAAUUCGGAGCAUAAUAAAGUGAUGCUGCAGAUCAAUUUUUAAAAAGCAUCACUUGGGCUGGGGAUUUAGUUCAGUGGUUCCACCACCUGCUUCGCAAGCACAAGGUCCCAAGUUCAAUCCCUGGUACAAAAAAAAAAAAAAAAAAAAA